rnacentral:rRNA from 1 species
UACGUAGGGUGCGAGCGUUAAUCGGAAUUACUGGGCGUAAAGCGUGCGUAGGCGGUUCGCUGUGUCCGAUGUGAAAGCCCCGGGCUUAACCUGGGAAUGGCAUUGGAAACUGGCGGACUUGAGUGCGGCAGAGGGGGGUGGAAUUCCGCGUGUAGCAGUGAAAUGCGUAGAGAUGCGGAGGAACACCGAUGGCGAAGGCAGCCCCCUGGGUCGACACUGACGCUCAGGCACGAGAGCGUGGGGAGCAAACAGG